rnacentral:rRNA from 1 species
UACGGAGGGUGCAAACGUUGCUCGGAAUCAUUGGGCGUAAAGCGCACGUAGGCGGCUCGUUAAGUCGGGUGUGAAAGCCCUGGGCUCAACCCAGGAAGUGCAUUCGAAACUGGCGAGCUUGAAUAUGGAAGAGGGUCGCGGAAUUCCCGGUGUAGAGGUGAAAUUCGUAGAGAUUGGGAAGAACACCGGUGGCGAAAGCGCUCUGCUGGGUCAUAUCUGACACUGAGGGACGAAAGCUAGGGGAGCGAAAGGG